rnacentral:lncRNA from 1 species
CUUCAAAAUGAUCCUUGGGUCACAUGAACUCAUUGUACCAACCCUAGGGCUUUGAUCUCAUAGAAAAUGUACUUGUUGCCUUGCACAGUUGAAUCUCCUGACCAGUCUUACUUGAGGACAUGAUGGACUAUGCAAUGAACAAUGCAAUGUUAAUGACCUAAAAUAAAAAUGUAUAUACAAAAUGGGAGGUGAAAAUUUGAGGUGC